rnacentral:rRNA from 1 species
UACGUAGGGUCCGAGCGUUGUCCGGAAUCAUUGGGCGUAAAGAGCGUGUAGGCGGCUCGGUAAGUCCGCUGUGAAAGUCCAGGGCUCAACCCUGGAAUGCCGGUGGAAACUGUCGAGCUAGAGUCCGGAAGAGGCGAGUGGAAUUCCUGGUGUAGCGGUGAAAUGCGCAGAUAUCAGGAGGAACACCAAUGGCGAAGGCAGCUCGCUGGGACGGUACUGACGCUGAGACGCGAAAGCGUGGGGAGCAAACAGG